rnacentral:rRNA from 1 species
UUCGAUUCUGGCUCAGGAUGAACGCUAGCUACAGGCUUAACACAUGCAAGUCGAGGGCAGCAUUGUCGAAGCUUGCUUGACAGAUGGCGACCGGCGCACGGGUGAGUAACGCGUAUCCAACCUUCCCCAUAGUAGGGCAUAGCCCGUAGAAAUGCGGAUUAAUACCCUAUGUAUUCCGAGGAUGACAUCUGAUUCGGAACAAAGGUUCACCGCUAUGGGAUGGGGAUGCGUCUGAUUAGGUAGUAGGCGGGGUAACGGCCCACCUAGCCGACGAUCAGUAGGGGUUCUGAGAGGAAGGUCCCCCACAUUGGAACUGAGACACGGUCCAAACUCCUACGGGAGGCAGCAGUGAGGAAUAUUGGUCAAUGGGCGAGAGCCUGAACCAGCCAAGUAGCGUGCAGGACGACGGCCCUAUGGGUUGUAAACUGCUUUUAUACAGGGAUAAAGUCGGGGACGCGUUCCCCGUUUGCAGGUACUGUAUGAAUAAGGACCGGCUAAUUCCGUGCCAGCAGCCGC